rnacentral:rRNA from 1 species
UACGUAGGGGGGCUAGCGUUGUCCGGAAUCAUUGGGCGUAAAGAGCGUGUAGGCGGCUCGGUAAGUCCGCUCUGAAAGCCCGGGGGCUCAACCCCGGGAGGCGGGCGGAUACUGUCGGGCUAGAGUCCGGAAGAGGCGAGUGGAAUUCCUGGUGUAGCGGUGAAAUGCGCAGAUAUCAGGAGGAACACCAAUAGCGAAGGCAGCUCGCUGGGACGGUACUGACGCUGAGACGCGAAAGCGUGGGGGAGCGAACAGG